CAGCAGCCGCGGGAAUACGGAGGGAGCUAGCGUUGUUCGGAAUUACUGGGCGUAAAGCGCACGUAGGCGGUUAUUCAAGUCAGAGGUGAAAGCCCGGGGCUCAACCCCGGAACUGCCUUUGAAACUAGAUGACUGGAAUCUUGGAGAGGUCAGUGGAAUUCCGAGUGUAGAGGUGAAAUUCGUAGAUAUUCGGAAGAACACCAGUGGCGAAGGCGACUGACUGGACAAGUAUUGACGCUGAGGUGCGAAAGCGUGGGGAGCAAACAGGAUUAGAUACCCCAGUAGUCCCUGUCUCUUAUAC
rnacentral:rRNA from 1 species